CUAUGGAUUGUAAACUGCUUUUAUACGAGAAGAAACACUCCUUCGUGAAGGAGCUUGACGGUAUCGUAAGAAUAAGGAUCGGCUAACUCCGUGCCAGCAGCCGCGGUAAUACGGAGGAUCCAAGCGUUAUCCGGAAUCAUUGGGUUUAAAGGGUCCGUAGGCGGUUUAAUAAGUCAGUGGUGAAAGCCCAUCGCUCAACGGUGGAACGGCCAUUGAUACUGUUAAACUUGAAUUAUUAGGAAGUAACUAGAAUAUGUAGUGUAGCGGUGAAAUGCUUAGAGAUUACAUGGAAUACCAAUUGCGAAGGCAGGUUACUACUAAUUGAUUGACGCUGAUGGACGAAAGCGUGGGUAGCGAACAGGAUUAGAUACCCUGGUAGUCCACGCCGUAAACGAUGGAUACUAGCUGUUGGAAGCAAUUUCAGUGGCUAAGCGAAAGUG
rnacentral:rRNA from 1 species